CAAAUUCUCAAUGGCGAAUCAAUAGUAUUACCAAAUUCCAGAACCCACUUCUCUUAUUUUUGUACUUAAAUCUUCACUAUAACACUUUUAGCUUUUUCAAUCUCAAACACAAUUGAAGUUCUCAAUCUUCUGGAGAGGUUUUGGUGGUCCUCUUGGGGAAGUGUAACACAACAUUGUUUUGCUCAUUACUCACUAUUCGAGCUUCUUUUAAAAGAGUACUUACAAAUCAUGGAAAUUUGAGACAUUCAUUACUCACUAGAUCUGAAAUCCUCUAGAGGUAUAUCUUAUGUGCUUUUGUGGCAAAGCAUUAUAUCUCUCAUUCUAUCGACGACCAAGUCUGUGAUCGCUAUUUUAGUAUUUAUGGCAGUUUUUAUGUUGAUACAUGGCGAGCGUGUUAUCGGGGUCUAAAUUUCUAAACGUAUGUCGAUAAACACGUGCUGUAGGUUGUGGUAGACCAUCUCUCUUCAUGUGCAACUUUGUAACUAUUUAUUUAACACAAAGAAUUGGAGCUUUCUGCAUAUAUUACUGCAGAGAUGCGUAA